rnacentral:rRNA from 1 species
CCUACGGGAGGCAGCAGUGAGGAAUAUUGGUCAAUGGACGCAAGUCUGAACCAGCCAUGCCGCGUGCAGGAUGACGGCUCUAUGAGUUGUAAACUGUUUUUGUACAAGGGUAAACCCCGAUACGUGUAUCGGGUUGACAGUCUCGUACGAAUAAGGAUCGGCUAACUCCGUGCCAGCAGCCGCGGUAAUACGGAGGAUCCGAGCGUUAUCCGGAUUUAUUGGGUUUAAAGGGUGCGUAGGCGGUUUAAUAAGUUAGAGGUGAAAUGUCGGGGCUCAACCCCGAAACUGCCUCUAAUACUGUUGUACUAGAGUAUAGUUGCGGUAGGCGGAAUAAGUGAAGUAGGGGUGAAAUGCUUAGAGAUAACGUAGAACUCCGAUAGCGAAGGCAGCUUACCAGACUGCGACUGACGCUGAUGCACGAGAGCGUGGGGAGCGAACAGGAUUAGAUACCCUAGUAGUC